rnacentral:rRNA from 1 species
GAUGAACGCUGGCGGCGUGCCUAAUACAUGCAAGUCGAGCGAACAGAUGAGGAGCUUGCUCCUCUGAUGUUAGCGGCGGACGGGUGAGUAACACGUGGAUAACCUACCUAUAAGACUGGGAUAACUUCGGGAAACCGUAGCUAAUGCCGGAUAAUAUUUUGAACCGCAUGGUUCUAAAGUGAAAGACGGUCUUGCUAUCACUUAUAGAUGGAUCCGCGCUGCAUUAGCUAGUUGGUAAGGUAACGGCUUACCAAGGCAACGAUGCAUAGCCGACCUGAGAGGGUGAUCGGCCACACUGGAACUGAGACACGGUCCAGACUCCUACGGGAGGCAGCAGUAGGGAAUCUUCCGCAAUGGGCGAAAGCCUGACGGAGCAACGCCGCGUGAGUGAUGAAGGUCUUCGGAUCGUAAAACUCUGUUAUUAGGGAAGAACAUAUGUGUAAGUAACUGUGCACAUCUUGACGGUACCUAAUCAGAAAGCCACGGCUAACUACGUG